rnacentral:rRNA from 1 species
GUAGCGAAAUUCCUUGUCGGGUAAGUUCCGACCUGCACGAAUGGCGUAACGACUUUCCUACUGUCUCAACCACAGACCCGGCGAAAUUGAAGUACGAGUAAAGAUGCUCGUUAGCUGCAUCAGGACGGAAAGACCCCGUGGACCUUUACUACAGCUUGCUGUUGAGUUUUAGUACAUAUUGUGUAGGAUAGGUGGGAGACUUUGAAGCAUUGGCGCUAGCCAGUGUGGAGUCAACCUUGAAAUACCACCCUUUAUGUGCCGGAACCCUAACCUCGGUCCGUUAUCCGGAUCAGGGACAGCGUCAGGUGGGUAGUUUGACUGGGGCGGUCGCCUCCUAAAACGUAACGGAGGCGCCCAAAGGUUCCCUCAGGCUGGUUGGCAAUCAGCCGUCGAGUGCAAUGGCACAAGGGAGCUUGACUGCGAGACCUACAAGUCGAGCAGGUGCGAAAGCAGGGCAUAGUGAUCCAGCGGUUGCUUGUGGAAGCGCCGUUGCUCAACGGAUAAAAGGUACCCCGGGGAUAACAGGCUCAUCUUCCCCAAGAGUCCAUAUCGACGGGAAGGUUUGGCACCUCGAUGUCGGCUCGUCGCAUCCUGGGGCUGAAGCCGGUCCCAAGGGUUGGGCUGUUCGCCCAUUAAAGCGGUACGCGAGCUGGGUUUAGAACGUCGUGAGACAGUUCGGUCCCUAUCCGAUGCAGCCGUAGGAGAUUUGAGGAAGGCUAUCCCUAGUACGAGAGGACCGGGAUGGACGAAGCUCUCGUGUGUCAGUUGUCCUGCCAAGGGCACUGCUGAUUUGCGACCUUCGGGUGGGAUAAGCGCUGAAAGCAUCUAAGCGCGAAGCUCGUUCCAAGAUGAAAUCUCCCACAGGGUUAACCUGGUAAGGCCCGUGGCCAGACGACCACGUUGAUAGGCCGGAAGUGUACGUGCGGUAACGCAUUCAGCUGACCGGUACUAAUCGGCCGAGGGCUUGGGAAC